rnacentral:rRNA from 1 species
AUUGAACGCUGGCGGCAGGCCUAACACAUGCAAGUCGAACAGUAACAGAAAGCAGCUUGCUGCUUUGCUGACGAGUGGCGGACGGGUGAGUAAUGUCUGGGAAACUGCCUGAUGGAGGGGGAUAACUACUGGAAACGGUAGCUAAUACCGCAUAACGUCGCAAGACCAAAGAGGGGGACCUUCGGGCCUCUUGCCAUCGGAUGUGCCCAGAUGGGAUUAGCUAGUAGGUGGGGUAACGGCUCACCUAGGCGACGAUCCCUAGCUGGUCUGAGAGGAUGACCAGCCACACUGGAACUGAGACACGGUCCAGACUCCUACGGGAGGCAGCAGUGGGGAAUAUUGCACAAUGGGCGCAAGCCUGAUGCAGCCAUGCCGCGUGUAUGAAGAAGGCCUUCGGGUUGUAAAGUACUUUCAGCGAGGAGGAAGGUGUUGUGGUUAAUAACCACAGCAAUUGACGUUACUCGCAGAAGAAGCACCGGCUAACUCCGUGCCAGCCGCCGCCGUAA